rnacentral:rRNA from 1 species
AUUGAACGCUGGCGGCAUGCCUUACACAUGCAAGUCGAACGGCAGCAUGGGUGCUUGCACCUGAUGGCGAGUGGCGAACGGGUGAGUAAUACAUCGGAACGUACCAAGUAAUGGGGGAUAACUACUCGAAAGAGUGGCUAAUACCGCAUACGCCCUAAGGGGGAAAGCAGGGGAUCUUCGGACCUUGCGUUAUUUGAGCGGCCGAUGUCUGAUUAGCUAGUUGGUGGGUAAGAGCCUACCAAGGCGACGAUCAGUAGCGGGUCUGAGAGGAUGAUCCGCCACACUGGGACUGAGACACGGCCCAGACUCCUACGGGAGGCAGCAGUGGGGAAUUUUGGACAAUGGGCGAAAGCCUGAUCCAGCCAUGCCGCGUGAAUGAAGAAGGCCUUAGGGUUGUAAAGUUCUUUUGUCAGGGAAGAAAGUUUCUGUGCUAAUACCAUAGAACGAUGACGGUACCUGAAGAAUAAGCACCGGCUAACUACGUGCCAG